rnacentral:misc_RNA from 1 species
AAGUCGUAACAAGGUUUCCGUAGGUGAACCUGCGGAAGGAUCAUUAGUAGGGAGCGUGGGGCCAUGUGGUUCUGCCGACCUUGUGCUGCGUGUGAGUGUGAGUGUGUGUGAUGUGGGUGCUGCUGUUGGCAGUGCCCACACACAUCCCGCCAUUACCGACCCAUAUAUACACUGUUGUCUAAUCACCUCGCAUCCACACUCGGGUGCACAACCAUCGAAAACUGCCAGCAAUGGAUCACUCGGUUCUC